AUGGCCUCAAUGUUUGGCUCAUGGCAUAUACAUAAUCAACCAUUUUAUUAAAAAAAGAAUGAAUGAGUAUUACAUCUAAUGAAGUCAGUGUUUAAUGGAAGUUAAACAGGUAACAAUUAAUUCCUAACUGCAGUCAGCACACAACUCUUAAGUGAACAUUUUCAGCUUUUCUUCAUUUUCGCUAUUUACAGAGAGAUCAGUGCUUCAGAAAGUUCUUGUGAUUUUGCUCAGAGACUGAGUUUUUCUUCAGUGUCAGAAGGUCUACUGCAAAUAUCAAAUGGCUGCAUGACCCUGGGCUGGAGAAAGUUCUGAGUGGAGUUUCUAGGUGAAAGAAGCCAGGUUACCUGAAUGUCUAUGCGAAGCCAAGCACUUGCCACCAAAAAUCCAGACUGUAAAAUGAAUUUAUUGUGUUAAAUUAGAUUUGGGGGGGAGAUUGUUUGCUGCAGUAGUCUGUCAGUAAUAAUACAACUUUCUCCCAAAGCCUUUGUGAUAUAGCCAAAAUUGUCUUUGAAGGAAUACAUAUUGUUUCAAAUGCAUUCUAGUUUUCAAAAUACCCAAAUAAAAGAAUUCAGAGCUCACUUUAAAAAGUCA
rnacentral:lncRNA from 1 species